rnacentral:misc_RNA from 1 species
UGAUAAGAGCAAGUGACUGCGUGUAGUGUAAAUGCGUAAAUAUACGAGACAGCAGAAGCGAGCGGCCUGCUGGUCUACUGACGCUGAGCACGAAAGCGUGGGAGCAACAGGAUUAGAUACCUGGUAGUCACGCCUAAACGAUGAGUACUAAACGUUGGAUAAAACCAGUGUUGAAGUUAACACAUUAAGUACUCCGCCUGAGUAGUACGUACGCAAGUAUGAAACUUAAAGGAAUUGACGGGACUCCGCACAAGCGGUGGAUCAUGUUGUUUAAUUCGAAGGUACCCGAAAAACCUCACCAGGUCUUGACAUGCUUUUGCAAAGCUGUAGAAAUACAGUGGAGGUUAUCAGAAGCACAGGUGGUGCAUGGUUGUCGUCAGCUCGUGUCGUGAGAUGUUGGGUUAAGUCCCGCAACGAGCGCAACCCUUGUUGUUAAUUGCCAUCAUUAAGUUGGGGACUUUAGCAAGACUGCCAAUGAUAAAUUGGAGGAAGGUGGGGACGACGUCAAAUCAUCAUGCCCCUUAUGACCUGGGCUACAAACGUGAUACAAUGGCUGUUACAAAGGGUAGCUAAAGCGUAAGCUUCUGGCGAAUCUCAAAAAAGCAGUCUCAGUUCGGAUUGAAGUCUGCAACUCGACUUCAUGAAGUUGGAAUCGCUAGUAAUCGCGAAUCAGCAUGUCGCGGUGAAUACGUUCUCGGGGUUUGUACACACCGCCCGUCAAACCACGAAAGUUGGCAAUACCCAAAGCCGGUGGCCUAACUUGAGCAAUCAAGAAGGAGCCGUCUAAGGUAGGGUUGAUGAUUGGGGUUAAGUCGUAACAAGGUAUCCCUACCGGAAGGUGGGGAUGGAUCACCUCCUUUCUAAGGAUAAAGUUAUCAUCUUCAGUUUUGAGAGACUUAAGAAAGUUUUUCAUUUUUUAAGAUUCGGGCCUAUAGCUCAGCUGGUUAGAGCACACGCCUGAUAAGCGUGAGGUCGGUGGUUCAAGUCCAUUUAGGCCCACCAAAAUAGGUCACAUCUUAAAAAAGCUCUUUGAAAAGUAGAUAAACAAAGGUUAGAAAAUAAAGUAUCUAA